rnacentral:sRNA from 1 species
CCGGGGGCUUACGCCCCCGGCUAUGUCGUGCCGCUCCUUCGGAGCU